AAACACACUGUCCUCAGUGCGUUUGAUAAGCUAACAUGAGACAGGAGCUUUUUUUCACGGUUGUGUCAGUGUAUCAGACACAAGCCUGAGCACC
rnacentral:pre_miRNA from 13 species